UAGGGAAUCUUGCGCAAUGGGCGAAAGCCUGACGCAGCAACGCCGCGUGCGGGAAGAAGGCCUUCGGGUUGUAAACCGCUUUUAGCAGGAACGAAAAUGACGGUACCUGCAGAAUAAGGUGCGGCCAACUACGUGCCAGCAGCCGCGGUGACACGUAGGCACCAAGCGUUGUCCGGAUUUAUUGGGCGUAAAGAGCUCGUAGGCGGUUCAGUAAGUCGGGUGUGAAAACUCUGGGCUUAACCCGGAGAGGCCACUCGAUACUGUUGAACUUGAGUUCGGUAGGGGAGUGGGGAAUUCCUGGUGUAGCGGUGAAAUGCGCAGAUAUCAGGAGGAACACCGGUGGCGAAGGCGCCACUCUGGGCCGAAACUGACGCUGAGGAGCGAAAGCGUGGGUAGCAAACAGGAUUAGAUACCCGUGUAGUCC
rnacentral:rRNA from 1 species